rnacentral:SRP_RNA from 1 species
GCCAACCAUGGUGGUACAUGCCUGUAAUACCAGCUACCUAGAAAGAGGAGACUGGGGGAUCUCUUGAGCUUGGGAGUUCUGAGAUACAGUGGGCUAUGCCAAUCAGGUGUCUGAACUAAGCUCAGCAUUAAUAUGGUGAGCACCAAUAUGAGGCCACCAGAUUGCCUAAGAAGGGACAAACUGGCCUAGGUCAGCAAGUCUAAGUUCCCCUGAAAAUCAGUAGUGGAAUUGGACUUGUGAAUAGCCCCUGUACUUCCAAUGUGGUCAAGAUGGGGAGAUCUAGUCCUU